rnacentral:lncRNA from 1 species
AAACAGCAGGCAGCGGUGAUGCUGGAUGCAUGUUUGGAGCUGGACCUGGUGAAUCUUCAUGCGCAUGCGGACUAAUAGAAUGCUGUGGUGCAGACUCAGGUGCAGCAGAAUGCCGCAUAAGAAUUGAGUAGCAACCCUGAUUUCAUCUGGUCCUUCAGUUCACUGAGUCUGUCUUGUACUUGAUAGAUUGCAACGUUCAAACUGAAAUUAAAAAUUGGUUGCACUUUUUGCAGAAGAAAAGCACUUUGUGGAGGGAUAAUUGUAAUCCCUCCAGGGAACUUUAGCACCUCAAAGAAGGAUGAGUUCCCAAACAACGAUGUGGUCAAGUGGAGAGUUGACUGCCGUGUAACCAAGGACAUAAAAGACUCUCUGAGAAUGCUUAUCUCAGCAGAUGACAUAGUUGAAUUUUUUGGAUAAGGCCAAAUGCCAAACACUACAGUUGUCCAAUUUGAUCCGGCUAAAGGUUCUAGAGAACUUACAACCACCAAGGAAUUAGGAACACCAAUUUCUUCAUAGAUAUCAUAUUGAAGUUUUGAGAUAUUGGCACUUAACAUAGCUACGGGCUUUUGCAGUCUGAAACUUGCUACGAUAUCAGCUUUAAACCGCGGGUCCCGAUUCCGACCCAUCAGAUCCCCACUAUGCCUCAAGAAUGGGGGAAGCCAGAACACGGCCGACAGCAGUAUGGCAAAACCAAGAACCAGCGCCACAACGCACCGCGGCCGCACGAUCCUACCGAUCGAUCGGCACUGGUGGCAGCUCCCGCAGGCAUUCCCCUCGGUGUCCUCCGACGACGAAGGGGCGGUGGACAAGGACUGCUCGCCUUCGGCUUUCCCCAUUGCCGCAGAUCUCCUCAGUCCCCAUCGCCACUCUCCUCAUCAAAAGCUCCCAUUGCCGCACAAGGAGAUCCAAGGACAGGAGCAAGAGGAGGAGAAGGACGAGAAGAAGAAGAAGAAGAAGAAGCGAGAAAGCUAGGGUUAGAGUGGUGCAGACUCAGGUGCAGCAGAAUGCUGCGGUGCAGACUCAGGUGCAGCAGAAUGCUGCGGAGAGGCCACGGGUGCAGAAGUCGGAACUGGAUGAUAAGGUUUGCUCUUGGGUCUGUUUGAGUAUCCAAAUCGGCAAUGAG